UCAAGUCCGAUGCUAAAGACUGGGGCUCAACCCCAGGGGUGCGUUGGAUACUGUGAGGCUAGACGGUCGGAGGGGGUAGCGGAAUUUCCGGAGUAGCGGUGAAAUGCGCAGAUACCGGAAGGAACGCCAAUAGCGAAGGCAGCUACCUGGACGACUUGUGACGCUGAGGCGCGAAAGCGUGGGGAGCAAACCGGAUUAGAUACCCGGGUAGUCCACGCCCUAAACCAUGAGUGCUGGGUGUCCGGCUUCUGCUGGGUGCCGUAGCUAACGCGCUAAGCACUCCGCCUGGGAAGUACGCUCGCAAGUGUGAAACUCAAAGGAAUUGACGGGGGCCCGCACAAGCGGUGGAGCAUGUGGUUUAAUUCGAAGCGACGCGAAGAACCUUACCAGGCCUUGACAUGCCCGGAACCCCUCUGAAAGGAGGGGGUGCCCGCAAGGGAGCCGGGACACAGGUGCUGCAUGGCCGUCGUCAGCUCGUGUCGUGAGAUGUUGGGUUAAGUCCCGCAACGAGCGCAACCCCUAUCCCUAGUUGCCAGCAGUUCGGCUGGGCACUCUAUGGAGACUGCCUGCGAAAGCAGGAGGAAGGCGGGGAUGACGUCUGGUCCGCAUGGCCCUUACGGCCUGGGCGACACACGUGCUACAAUGCCAAGGACAGAGCGCUGCUACCUCGCGAGAGGACGCCAAUCGCAAAAACCUUGGCUCAGUUCGGAUUGGAGUCUGCAACUCGACUCCAUGAAGCCGGAAUC
rnacentral:rRNA from 1 species